CAAUAGCGUAUAUUAAAGUUGUUGCAGUUAAAAAGCUCGUAGUCGGAUUUUGGCAUCAUGCCGAACUGUCAGCCGAUUGGUUUGUACGGUUUGGCGGGUGCUCUCCUUCCGGAGGCUCGUUUCCUCUUUCAUUAGAGGGUUCGAUGGUUCCGGGUCUUUUACUUUGAAAAAAUUAGAGUGUUCAAAGCAGGCUUAUGCCUCUGAAUAUAUUAGCAUGGAAUAAUGAUAUAGGACCUUGGUACUAUUUUGUUGGUUUGCGCACUGAGGUAAUGAUUAAGAGGGACAGUUGGGGGUAUUUGUAUUCCAUUGUCAGAGGUGAAAUUCUUGGAUUUUUGGAAGACAAACUACUGCGAAAGCAUUUACCAAGGAUGUUUUCAUUAAUCAAGAACGAAAGUUAGGGGAUCGAAGACGAUUAGAUACCGU
rnacentral:rRNA from 1 species